GACGAACGCUGGCGGCGUGCUUAACACAUGCAAGUCGAACGGAAAGGCCCUUCGGGGUACUCGAGUGGCGAACGGGUGAGUAACACGUGGGUGAUCUGCCCUGCACUUUGGGAUAAGCCUGGGAAACUGGGUCUAAUACCGAAUAGGACCGCAUGCUUCAUGGUGUGUGGUGGAAAGCUUUUGCGGUGUGGGAUGGGCCCGCGGCCUAUCAGCUUGUUGGUGAGGUAAUGGCUUACCAAGGCGACGACGGGUAGCCGGCCUGAGAGGGUGACCGGCCACACUGGGACUGAGAUACGGCCCAGACUCCUACGGGAGGCAGCAGUGGGGAAUAUUGCACAAUGGGCGCAAGCCUGAUGCAGCGACGCCGCGUGAGGGAUGACGGCCUUCGGGUUGUAAACCUCUUUCGCCAGGGACGAAGCGCAAGUGACGGUACCUGGAGAAGAAGGACCGGCCAACUACGUGCCAGCAGCCGCGGUAAUACGUAGGGUCCGAGCGUUGUCCGGAAUUACUGGGCGUAAAGAGCUCGUAGGUGGUUUGUCGCGUUGUUCGUGAAAACUCACAGCUUAACUGUGGGCGUGCGGGCGAUACGGGCAGACUUGAGUACUGCAGGGGAGACUGGAAUUCCUGGUGUAGCGGUGGAAUGCGCAGAUAUCAGGAGGAACACCGGUGGCGAAGGCGGGUCUCUGGGCAGUAACUGACGCUGAGGAGCGAAAGCGUGGGGAGCGAACAGGAUUAGAUACCCUGGUAGUCCACGCCGUAAACGGUGGGUACUAGGUGUGGGUUUCCUUCCUUGGGAUCCGUGCCGUAGCUAACGCAUUAAGUACCCCGCCUGGGGAGUACGGCCGCAAGGCUAAAACUCAAAGAAAUUGACGGGGGCCCGCACAAGCGGCGGAGCAUGUGGAUUAAUUCGAUGCAACGCGAAGAACCUUACCUGGGUUUGACAUGCACAGGACGCCGGCAGAGAUGUCGGUUCCCUUGUGGCCUGUGUGCAGGUGGUGCAUGGCUGUCGUCAGCUCGUGUCGUGAGAUGUUGGGUUAAGUCCCGCAACGAGCGCAACCCUUGUCUCAUGUUGCCAGCACGUUAUGGUGGGGACUCGUGAGAGACUGCCGGGGUCAACUCGGAGGAAGGUGGGGAUGACGUCAAGUCAUCAUGCCCCUUAUGUCCAGGGCUUCACACAUGCUACAAUGGCCGGUACAAAGGGCUGCGAUGCCGUGAGGUGGAGCGAAUCCUUUCAAAGCCGGUCUCAGUUCGGAUCGGGGUCUGCAACUCGACCCCGUGAAGUCGGAGUCGCUAGUAAUCGCAGAUCAGCAACGCUGCGGUGA
rnacentral:rRNA from 1 species